CGCCGGCCACCUUCCUCCGGUGAGCAACCGCCAUCCGCCUUCCUCGCGCGAGCCAUAGCCGGCCGCCUUCCUCCGGCGAGCAACCGCCAACUGCCUUCCUCCCGCGAGCCACUGCCGGCCGCCUUCCUCCGCCGCGUCUGCCUUGGCGGGCCGCGCCCUGUCUCCACUACCGCCUCUGGUCACGCACUGCCCCAUUCAUGGCUAGCUUGCGUAUGGAACCUGCAAGUUCAACAUUUGCACAAUAUUCAGUUCUUGUAGUACAAAUGUCUCCCUCCCCCCACGCCAUCCUCGGAACCCCUCACUCGCGCCACGGCCGCAGCUUCACUCCCGUGCGCCACCCUCGGUUGUCGCGCCAUGGCCUGAGCUCAGCGGCUGUGGGUGGAGCCGCUGGGUCGAGGAACUUUGCCUCGACAGUACAACAGCACACUCUGCUGUUGGUCGCGAUAAGAGCUGCGCACAAGCCACCCCCUGUCCGCCCUCGAUCUGUCUUAGUCAUCUCCCUCUCAUCCUCUCUCUAUCUCUGGUAUGCGUUUGUGUGUGCAGGGAGUGGGAGGAGAUAGAGCAGGGGAGUGGGAGGCCCUUCCAUGGCAAAUCCGUCGGCAUCUUCCAUGGAUAUUGCGACCUCUCUUGAUUUUUGCUUGAGGAUUUCUCCUCUGGAUCUGUAGACUGUAGUUCCUGCAUAGCGGUGUCCUUUUUUCUAGUGUUCCUCUUUCGAUGUUGAUGCAUGUGUUUAAUAACCCCACUGAUGCGAAUUCUGAAAACAAGCUCCAGUACAAGAAAAAUGGGUCGUUCAGUUCAAUUCUGAAUUAUAAGUGUGUAAACACAUCCUGCUUACACAGUAACUAAUUAACUAUGAUAACCAUGUUCAGACUUCUAUAAAUCCCAAAACUAUGCAGAGUUAGGAUUGUUACUACCUUGCUUCUUACUAUUGAUUCAUUUUUUAUGAGAAGGUAUUAAGAUGGUACAUGUAGUUGGGCAUCUCAAUAUACUGUAAUGUGUUUUUUUGCAUAUUACCUUGAAAUUAUGUUAGCAAUUCUGAAUUGCGAUUGUGCUUGAAACUGAAAAUAAUUCUGUAACUUCUCAAACCUCGUGGACUUGAUGCUUAAAAUGCUUACAGAACGAAUUGAUUCUUGUUUCUUUCAUGAUCAGUUCAGCAAAAAAAAAGUUCAGUCCAAUUUCAAAUUCUCAUUUGAGUUUAGUCAAAGUUUCUUAUUUUAGUCCAGUACAAUAUCCAAGUUUAUUUCAGUUCAAUUCUUAUUUUAGUUUUAGUUCAUUUCAAUUCUUAUUUUAGUCAAUCUGUAGUCUAUGGAUUUUAUUUGGCCUAGAUUGCUAGAUGUACUAACUUGUUGUGCCAAGGCAAUAUAAAACAUUAAGUGUCGCUACUGUAAUUUGUUCAUUGUUUCAUGCCUUCCCGCCGACGCGCGCCCCCACCUCCUCGCCGACGCGCGCCCCCCGCCUCCCCGUCGACGUGCGCCGCCAUGCCUUCCUACAGACGCGCACCGCUCCGCUGCCUCAGUGCCCAUGCCGUUCAAACUCAGCCACCUAGGCCGUUCAGUUGGCGGUGUUCCUGCAGCUGCAGAGGUGGUGCUGACAGUAGUAGGCGCUGGUUGUGUUGGAUAAAAUGCCUAGGAGCUCCCAUGAUUUAUACAUGGAACCUAGAUGAUUCCGUUUCUUCAUUCCCCCAAGUGCUUCAAUGCUGGCUCCUUCUCGGCUGGCUCGAUCGCUGCUGGAUUAGGUGGGCGUAGGUGUGGGUUUACAUUGAAGCUGGCACCGCUCUUGUGUUAUUUUCUCUAGCGAUUGAGAAAUUGAUACUCUUUUUAAUGCGUAAGUUUAUCUGCUCACAACCUGUUUGUAUGAAAAGCCAAAUAGCUUGAGAAUAGCAACCUGUUCGAGCUUAGCUGAGAGGAUUUUGAAUCGUUGUGUGAGGAAGUGUGGACAUGGCCUUGAGAUAAUGCAUGCUGCUUUAUUCAUAGAGAGACGGUGCCGUUGAUUUUAUUCAUAGGAAACUGAACCAAAACAGUGGUUGCUACUAGUGUUUGGAAAUUAUAAUUACUAGAACUCUUAUUUCUCACCCUUUUAAUUGCUGGCUAAUUCUUGUAAAAAGUAGUGGUUAAUCUUGCUAAUUACUUUGAUGUGAUGCCUAGGUGGUCACUCCAGCUCCUGCAACCAACACAGGUCGUUGCCCCCUUUGCCACAACGGCAGGAGCACAAAUACGAGUGUGGUCGUCCUCAACCAGUUCCUUCACGCGGCCUUCACGCAACCCCUGCUCAUGUAUGCUUACACCAAAAGUACAACUCUUGUUACUCUCCUCGUACUUGCUCUUGCUUAUUUUCUAAGCAAUAAUUCCUAUUGCUUCCUCUUGGGGAAAGGGAUCCCAUGUUGAAGCCUUGGUGCUCACCCGCUGUUUAUAUUCAUCACCAUAGUGUACGAAACAUAUGAAAACCAUUCUGGCUUCGGGAGAAAAUAUAACCAGUACAUGUGCAAUUGCGUGAGAAGUUCCCUUAUGAAAGUUCCUUGUAAACAAACCACAUGAAAGUUCGUCAAGAAAAACUUUGUAAGUUCAAAAUGGCUAUAGGAAAACUUUGUAGGUUCAGAUGGGUAUAGAAAACUUUGUAAGUUCAAAAUGGGCACGCCUAAUAGUGCGUGAAUAAAAUUUUUAAACCCAACAAAGUCCAUGUUGGUCGGUCUACAGUGUGUUGUCAAGAAGGUUGUUGGCCUUGGAGGCCGACACUAGCUGAUCAUCUACCUUCCAAUUAUAUUAGGCAUAUACCACUGAAACUGCAGGUCGCGCCCUCCUCCCACCGUAGGUGGUGCCCUCCUCCCGCAUAGCCUAUUGGUUGGUGUACCGUGACCCCUCCUCAUAUUUUUGGUAUGAAUUUGAUGAAUCUUCUUGAUGCUCUGUUCUUAUUCAUCUAGAGAUUCCUCCUCAUAUUGAUUGUUUGUAUUGCUCUGUUCUUGUCAUUUUGUAAAUUAGAAAACAGUAGUCAGUAUUUUUUUAUAAAAAAGUUUACCGCAUAAAAAAUGCAACAGUAGUUCAACACAAUAUCAAGGAGGGUGUGAGUUGGGUAUGGUUACAGACGAAAGAUAUGUGUUGAAAAGUUCACUUCGUCUACAUACGUAAGUUCAAAAAAUUGUCAUAGAGCUAGUUUAAAAAAUUGUCAAAAGGCAAAAUGGUUGUGCUAGUUCAAUUUUUUCAGUCCAUCUUCUGUAUGCUAUUCAGUACAUCUAAUUCCAAAUCGUAAGUACAAUUGCCUUUAUGUUUUCCAUCUUCAUAUAACACAAAAUAGGCACUGGAGGAUAAGGUGAGAAUAUAUACUAAUGAAAUGCUUGGUGGCGUUGUCCAUGUUUUGAAUUUAAACCACUAGCUUUUUUAUACACGAGCGCCUGUCCUGGGAGAGCCCUAUAUUGCCAUGAGCACUACUGCUACAAACUUUAAUCCCCCAUUGUCCGGCCCUAUAUUUUAUCCUCGGUUCUUAGAAAAGCAUGGAAACAAUUCUCUGUGUGUUAGAGUAUCAGUUCAUGUGGAGAAGAACAUGUUUCCUAUAUGAAAAAAAUAAUAUAUUAUUAUCAGUUCAAUAUGUAUUUUGUCAUUAGUUCAUACAGAACAACCGUAAAAAAUAUUUUGAUGUGUGUUAGAGAGAGAUCAACUUUAUAUUAUAUGGUAGCUCACUCAUUGCAUGAUUGCACAGCAGUUUGGCAUCAAAAUUCACAUCAGUUUAGGGGUGCCCGCAUCACGGUCUCACCGUGCUACCGCAAUCUCUCCUUGAUACGCCACCGGACGAGCCCCUCCUCACACUUUGGCAAGCUGUCACUUGCUCCUGUGCCUGGAUCCCAUGUGAGCGCUGAUGGUAGUCCUCUGUGUGCGUCAAUGGCACUUUCUCACAGCAAUCUCCCUCUCUUUCUUUGCUCCUGCUAUUAAAAUGCAUAGAUGUGGUAUUCUGCUAACUGAGUAGUUGGGAAGAUGUGAAAAGAACAUGCUCUUUAGGUGUUUGUGACUAUUCCUGUGAGCACCAAUGAAUUUAAAUUUUUAUUUUGUGCUUCCGUGUAUGUUUUUGGGCAGCACAAGUACAUCGUCAUAGUAAGUACAAAUGCGGUCUUAUGGAACUCUGAUAGUUGUUGGAUGCUAUUCCAAAUGCCAAUCAUGCAAAACGGUUGUUGCUAGAAUCUAGAUGAUAUUUAAUGUAGAUACCAUAGUUUCACCGUAUUUUUUGGUUCUAAAUAUUUCUGCAUACCUCUUUAAAAGAAUGUUCCGUUUGUGAUCAUUUCUUGUAGGUAUUCAUGUGGACUUUAAAUAAUGACUAUUCUUGUAUGAGGUUUGAAGAUUAUCGUGGAGCAAGUUCAAGAGAUUAGUUUCGUGAAAAUAAAUGUGAUCUUUUGGUCAGGAUUUUGCAUGAUCCAUAGCCAUCGAUGGCAACAGGAGGCGUCCUGCGUGAGUCGUCCAUCGUCUUCUAUGCGUGAGCUUGUUGUCUCUACACAUCUAGCAUCAGAGUAUCGCCUCCCCUUGCCACACACACAUGCGGUGUGGUCGAGCUAGUGUUGUUUGUGAUACUGCUCGUGACUCUUGCGUCGUCAUUGGACAAAGAAUUUGUUCUGUGACUAUGUAUUUGCAGGACCUUUAGCAAAUAUUGUUGUGUUCUGAGUAUUCUGAUGUGGGCCAAAUGGUGAGCAUUUAAACAUCAGUCUGAAUUAACAAAACUGAUAAGUUCUACUUUCAAUAAACUGAUGAACCUAGAUGCAACAAAGCUCUGCCAUUAGCCGUGGGGAUUAUCAGUUCAUGUGUAUUGUGUUCUUUUUGUCGGUUAAUGUAUUUCUUGUUUGUCAGGUCAUGUGCAAGUUUGUUAUCAGUUCAUGUGUAUGUGUAUUGGUGAUCUAUGCUAUUGCUGCUAGCUAUCGAUCAGACUGGUAUUACUUUGGCAGCUCCAUGUAAUUAGCCCCUUUGUUGGGUGAAUCUCCUACUACUUGCUAGCUUUGGAAUUGUAAAAACACAAUAAGUUCACAAUUUAAAAAGGUGUAAGUUCAACACGACGUCCUAGAUAAGUUUUAGGAAAAAGUUGAAACACAAAGAAAACCCAAAGAAAUUCAAAUGGUAACGUUCAAGUCGUGGGAUGAAAGAAGUCCAGAACAACGUUGAAAAUGUUAAGAGUUG
rnacentral:lncRNA from 1 species